rnacentral:rRNA from 1 species
CCUACGGGAGACAGCAGUGAGGAAUAUUGGUCAAUGGACGAGAGUCUGAACCAGCCAAGUAGCGUGAAGGAUGACUGCCCUAUGGGUUGUAAACUUCUUUUAUAUGGGAAUAAAAUGUUCCACGUGUGGGAUUUUGUAUGUACCAUAUUAAUAAGGAUCAGCUAACUCCGUGCCAGCAGCCGCGGUAAUACGGAGGAUCCGAGCGUUAUCCGGAUUUAUUGGGUUUAAAGGGAGCGUAGGUGGAUUGUUAAGUCAGUUGUGAAAGUUUGCGGCUCAACCGUAAAAUUGCAGUUGAAACUGGCAGUCUUGAGUACAGUAGAGGUGGGCGGAAUUCGUGGUGUAGCGGUGAAAUGCUUAGAUAUCACGAAGAACUCCGAUUGCGAAGGCAGUUCACUGGACUGCAACUGACACUGAGGCUCGAAAGUGUGGGUAUCAAACAGGAUUAGAUACCCUUGUAGUC